AUCCAGCUGACGAGUCCUGAUUAGAACAAAACGCACGUCCUGGAU
rnacentral:hammerhead_ribozyme from 1 species